AAAAUAGUUACUUCAAAUUUUUGCCUUUUCCUGGUCUUCAUUAGCUAACAGACCCAUCUCUGUUUCCAGUGUACCUACACUUUCAUUUUUUGUUUUUUUUAGCAUUAAUGUACUUGAAAAAAAUUGGGGGGUUGGUUUUGCAUUCUCAUUUUCAAUUUCUCAUUUUCCAGUUUAGCCACUUUAAUUGCCUUUUUUGCAAGCG